AAGUGGCUGGUGGGGCAGCCAGCCAGAGCAAGUGCUCAAAUGGCAGAGCAACAAGAUGCUUUCUUCCCUGGGUGGGAGGUGAACUCAGAGAUGCACCUCUGAACCCUGGGUCCUCACUGACCAAGGACAACCACUACUGAAACAAUCCUGCUUCUCCAAAGGUCAAUCGGAUUUCCUAAGAGCAGGACAAGAAACUCUGUCAUACCUUGAACAGCCUGAGGGAUGAAAGCCUUGAGGAGGAACAUAGUGGCCUGAAAGACUG